rnacentral:rRNA from 1 species
AGAGUUUGAUCCUGGCUUAGGAUGAACGCUAGCUACAGGCUUAACACAUGCAAGUCGAGGGGCAUCAUGAAGUUGCUGCAAACUUGAUGGCGACCGGCGCACGGGUGAGUAACGCGUAUCCAACCUUCCCUAUAGUAGGGGAUAGCCCGGCGAAAGUCGGAUUAAUACCCUAUGUUGUUCACUGAGGACAUCUGAUAUGAACCAAAGGUUUACCGCUAUAGGAUGGGGAUGCGUCUGAUUAGGUAGUAGGCGGGGUAACGGCCCACCUAGCCGACGAUCAGUAGGGGUUCUGAGAGGAAGGUCCCCCACAUUGGAACUGAGACACGGUCCAAACUCCUACGGGAGGCAGCAGUGAGGAAUAUUGGUCAAUGGACGAGGGUCUGAACCAGCCAAAGUAGCGUGCAGGAUGACGGCCCUAUGGGUUGUAAACUGCUUUUAUCGGGGGAUAAAGUGAGGGACGUGUCCCUUUUUGUAGGUACCCGAUGAAUAAGGACCGGCUAAUUCCGUGCCAGCCGCAGC